UACGAAGGGGGCUAGCGUUGUUCGGAAUCACUGGGCGUAAAGCGUAUGUAGGCGGAUUGUUAAGUCAGGGGUGAAAGCCCGAGGCUCAACCUCGGAACUGCCUUUGAUACUGGCUGUCUUGAGUCCGGGAGAGGUGAGUGGAACUCCUAGUGUAGAGGUGAAAUGCGUAGAUAUCGGGAGGAACACCUGUGGCGAAAGCGGCUCACUGGACCACAACUGACGCUGAGGCACGAAAGCUAGGGGAGCAAACAGG
rnacentral:rRNA from 1 species